ensembl:lncRNA
UUCGGGGAUUGGUCAUAGAAUGUUCUGGAGUGGCCUAUUAAGUCUCCAGAUUUAAAUCUCCAAAAAAUAUUUGGUUGAAUUUGAAUAGAGCUGUGGCAAUGUGAAAACCAAAAAUCAUCAGUGAUCUGUAAGCUUUUUCAGGCGAGGAAUGGGCUAAGAUUGCAGUAGAGAGGUGACAGAAGCUUCUAAGCACUUACAGGCCGUGUUUAUUAGAGGUUAUAAAGAAUAAAAUAUUUUAACUUUACAUUCUCAGAAUCACUCAAAUGUGUAUUAAUAAACUUUCUCUAAUAUAGUUUACCAAUGGCUUUAUUAAAUUGUUUCCAUAAAAUUUUGUUCUCGGCAGGUCAAGGGGGUUGGAUAAAUUUGAUUGCAACUGCAUAAUUACAGUAUGUAUAAUCCAAUUAACAUUGUUUCAGUGGACUUCUGGUGGCCUUGGAUGAUCAUAGCUGGAGCAGCAGUUGGAGGAGCAGUGCUACUUGUGCUCAUCAUUAUCGCAAUGAAAGUUUUUAAACGUAAAACAGUUGAUGAAGUAACCUAUGCAUCAGUUAUCCAUAGGUCACACAACUCCAAUGAGAGCAAUGAUCUUGUGCAUAAUAACCUCAUUAACGGCUCUACUGAGGACUAGGGUCGUGUCAGCUCAGAUACUGUCUUAUAUGCAACCGUCAAAGAGAGGACAUGAAAAGAACAACACAACAUCACAAUUAUUAAAAUUUCAGAUAAAAGUUGAACUGAAUCAGCCUGUUUUGUUCUACAGAUUUCUCUAUGCAUUACUGUUUAAUAUUGCAACACCUAGAUCUAAAAGGGUGAAUCAAACACUGGGGCUGCACAGGGAAAGGAGAAUUAAAGUUAUGCAACCUAUUGGCCUCAAAUUACACUUUUAUAUACAGAUUGUGGAAACAUAUGGAAAAACCUGACUGUAAUCAGAGAGUGAUCAGAGAGACUGAGAGUGCAUUCUCAUCAAUGCUAACAGACAGGUUGCAUGCAGUAUCAAGAUGAAGGUACAGAAUUUCUGUUUUAAAGUAUUGUUGGCUCAGCUGCAUUGAAUAGAGACUGUCUAGUAUGUAGUGUCUAAGAUGCAACCGCAUUACUUGAAUUAUCACCUACACCAUAAAUAGACAUGACCACAGAUGCAGUAGAAGCAAGAGUCAUAUCCUGUGCUUGUCUGUAUGUAUUAUGUUGACUCUUCUGUUCCGGUCCUGUUUCUACUCAUCAUUCCUAUUUUGUCUUUUUAGUUCAUUACCCUCUUUUGUAUAUAUAGCCCUCAAACUUUGGCAGGUCUUGGUUUGCGAGCAGUUAUGUUAGGGUUUUCAGUUGCACUCACUGUUUAUAGUGUUUUAGUUCUGUUCCUUGUU